CUCCAGCUGACGAGUCCCAAACAGGACGAAACUCUCUUCCUGGAU
rnacentral:hammerhead_ribozyme from 1 species